UACGAAGGGGGCUAGCGUUGCUCGGAAUCACUGGGCGUAAAGGGUGCGUAGGCGGGUCUUUAAGUCAGGGGGGAAAUCCUGGAGCUCAACUCCAGAACUGCCUUUGAUACUGAAGAUCUUGAGUUCGGGAGAGGUGAGUGGAACUGCGAGUGUAGAGGUGAAAUUCGUAGAUAUUCGCAAGAACACCAGUGGCGAAGGCGGCUCACUGGGGGUGAUCUGACGCUGAGACACGAAAGCCAGGGGAGCGAACGGG
rnacentral:rRNA from 1 species